rnacentral:snoRNA from 1 species
CCCUUCUCAGGAUCGCCCCUGGAGAGUUUCCACUACUCUACCAGUCUCGGCUACAGGAAGAAGAGUCAAGCAGAGGCAUACCCAUUCCAUUCCUAGUUUGGGCAGUGGCUAGCGAGUGGAAGGCCAUCUGCUACAAGU